UACUUUCUUUGCAUUUCCCUGGUGACCUUCGUACUGCAGCUCUUCCUCUUCCUGCCCAGCAUGCGUGAGGACCCCACAGCCACCCCGCUCUUCUCGCCUGCCGUGCUUCACGGGGCGCUCUUCCUGUUCCUCUCAGCCAAUGCCCUGGGCAAUUACAUCCUGGUCGUCCAGAACUCCCCAGACGACCUGGGUGCCUGCCAGGGAACCUCGUCCCAGAGACCUCAGCGCCCACCACCCAGCACCCACUUCUGCCGAGUGUGCGCCCGAGUCACGCUGAGGCACGACCAUCACUGUUUCUUCACCGGCAACUGCAUCGGCAGCAGGAACAUGCGCAACUUCAUCCUGUUCUGCCUCUACACCUCACUGGCCUGCCUUUACUCCAUGGUGGCCGGAGUGGCCUAUAUCUCAGCUGUCCUUUCCAUCUCCUUCGCCCACCCCCUGGCCUUCCUCACGCUCCUGCCCACUUCAAUCAGCCAGUUCUUCUCCGGUGAGUGGGCCAUGGCAGGCAGGUUGAGCAAACAAGACCUAACCCCAAGUUUUUCCAAAUAAAAGCUCAGGAUGCUCGGUUCAAACUGUC
rnacentral:lncRNA from 1 species